CUCUUGGUGGCCAAGCUGGCUAAGGCGCGAGACUGUAAAUCUUGAGAUCGGGUGUUCGACUCACCCCCAGGAGA
rnacentral:tRNA from 2 species